UAGGUUCUCUGAGAUGCCGAGUGAAUGAUGGGGGACUGGUUGUGGAAUCCUAUCUUGAAUCUAGCACUGGAGGGAAAAGAGUGAGCACAGCCACAGGGGAAGCACAGCCGUCCUCCUGAGACUGAAGUCUGUCUGACACGGGAGGCAAGAGAUCCCUGACAG
ensembl:lncRNA